AUGGGAUCUCCUCUCUCCCCAAUCCUGUCAGACCUGGUCAUGGAAGACUUGGAAACGUCUUGCAUUAAUGAUCUUGGUUUUGAUUUACCGUUCUACUUUCGACACGUGGAUGAUAUUCUUACUGCCGUUCCAAACGAAAAAAUAGAUCACACCCUUAAUAUUUUUAACCGGUACCAUCCAAGAUUACAAUUUACUAUCGAAACAGAAGAAAAUAACGCCAUCAGUUUCUUAGACGUAUUGUUGAUACACAACAAUAAUAAUAUCAAGACAGAUUGGUUUCACAAAAAAACCUGGUCACAAAGAUACCUGAAUUUUAAUUCUCACCAUCCUUUGUCCUUCAAAAUAGGCACCAUCAUUAACCUAGUUGACCGAGCUAUCAAACUAGCCAGUACAGAGUUCCAGGAAAAAAACCUGUCGCUCAUAUACAAUAUACUUAGAUGGAAUGAUUACCCUCAUGGCCUAUUACACCAACAAAUUAAUAAGAGACGCACCUACAUCAACAACAUACCUGACAAUAAUAUUGACUCUACUCCCGCUGAGGAUAACAAUAGACCCGCUACUACAUAUAUCCCCAUCCCAUAUAUAUCUGGUCUAUUUGAGUCACUUAACCGCUUAUUCGCCAAAUAUAAUGUCAAGUUUGUUGGAAAAAAUUCAAAAGAUUUACAACUAGUUUUUGAUACAGGAAAAGACAAGAUCCCCAUGGGCAAACGAUCUAAUGUCGUGUAUAAAAUACCAUGCAAUGAUUGCAAUCAAGUCUACAUAGGUCAAACUGGUCGACAUCUCAACACUAGAAUUAGGGAACACCAACGCAACAUACAUGAGACUGAAGAACGUCACACAGCUCUAACGAAACAUAGUAUCGAUAAACAACACACUUUUAAUUACGACAACACAAACAUCCUUUGUGAAGAACACAAUUAUUAUAGAAGACUGUUAUUAGAAAUGUGCAACAUUGUAGGUCACACCAAUUCUGUUAAUCUUAGACAAGAUGUUGAACAUUUAAGUAAUAUUUACAAACCUCUAAUCUCCGCCCACACAACAAAUAUUGUUUAACCUUAACUACAUACAAAAAAAUUUUUUGUCCCCAUUAUACAGUCCUUUCUACAUAACUUUUCUUACAAAAUAUUUAUUGUUUUUCUGUAUAAUUGUUUAUAAUAGGUUCACCUUCACUCUGGAUUACAUUGUUUUCUCCCAUCAGUCGUUAUUCACCUGUUGACUCAAUUGGUUCAACCAACAAUAUUUCGUUAGACAUGUGGAACUUAAUUAUAAAGAGCCUACCUCCACUUCUUUGACACCUGUGAAUUAAUUUUAUUGCUCAAAAGACCUUCUUUAUUAAAACAUAGUUAUAUAUAUAUAAAAAGUUAAAAAGAAAAUAGUUAUUAUAGAAACAUAGUUCUUUAAUUUUUUUAAUUAAUCACUUCCAACCAUUAACUUCCACAUAUAAAAUAACUUGAAGAUUGACAUUGUCUAACGUCACUCAAAAGAACACUGUCUCCACCAAUUGUAAUUGUGAAUUCGACUACAUCUUAGUCCACUUACUUAAUUCAAAAGCAAGUUAAUGGAGCAACGAUAAUUCAAGAUGGAAGUUCGUCACAAAAAUUACAAACAAUAAGCCCGUUGCCACAACGUCUUGUCAAUUGGUGGCAAUGGUAUCAGCAAUUGACAGGGAUGGAUAAAGUUGAAAUAGCAAAGC
rnacentral:misc_RNA from 1 species